CGGGCUGUAGCGUAGCCUGGUAGCGCACUUGCAUGGGGUGCAAGGGGUCGAGAGUUCAAAUCUCUCCAGCCCGA
rnacentral:tRNA from 1 species